GCCCCCAUGGACGAAUGGGAUGUUGCCCGCAUAAUCUGCCGCCGCGGUCCAGAUUUCAAUGCGGGGGGUGGAGGUUCGAAUCCUCCUGGGGGCA